rnacentral:rRNA from 1 species
UACGAGGGGGGCGAGCGUUGUUCGGAAUUAUUGGGCGUAAAGGGCGCGCAGGCGGCCACGCACGUCCGUUGUGAAAUCGCUCGGCUCAACUGGGCGGGGUCAGCGGAUACGGCGUGGCUGGAGCAAGCUAGGGGGCAAUGGAAUUCCCGGUGUAGUGGUGGAAUGCGUAGAUAUCGGGAGGAACACCUGUGGCGAAAGCGGCGCACUGGACCAUAACUGACGCUGAGGCGCGAAAGCUAGGGGAGCAAACAGG